rnacentral:rRNA from 1 species
CAUACGGCUCAGUAACGCGUAGUCAACCUACCCUAUGGACGGAAAUAACCUCGGGAAACUGAGAAUAAUAUCCGAUAGAACAUUAUGCCUGGAAUGGUUUAUGUUCCAAAUGAUUUAUCGCCGUAGGAUGGGACUGCGGCCUAUCAGUUUGUUGGUGAGGUAAUGGCCCACCAAGACUAUUACAGGUACGGGCUCUGAGAGGAGUAGCCCGGAGAUGGGUACUGAGACACGGACCCAGGCUCUAUGGGGCGCAGCAGGCGAGAAAACUUUGCAAUGUGCGAAAGCACGACAAGGUUAAUCCGAGUGAUUUCUGCUAAAGAAAUCUUUUGUUAGUCCUAGAAACACUAACGAAUAAGGGGUGGGCAAGUUCUGGUGUCAGCCGCCGCGGUAAAACCAGCACCUCAAGUGGUCAGGAUGACUAUUGGGCCUAAAGCAUCCGUAGCCGGCUCUGUAAGUCCUCGGUUAAAUCUGUACGCUUAACGUACAGGCUGCCGGGAAUACUGCAUAGCUAGGGAGUGGGAGAGGUAGACGGUACUCGGUAGGAAGGGGUAAAAUCCUUUGAUCUAUUGAUGACCACCUGUGGCGAAGGCGGUCUACCAGAACACGUCCGACGGUGAGGGAUGAAAGCUGGGGGAGCAAACCGGAUUAGAUACCCGGGUAGUCCCAGCUGUAAACUAUGCAAACUCAGUGAUGCAUUGGCUUGUGGCCAAUGCAGUGCUGCAGGGAAGCCGUUAAGUUUGCCGCCUGGGAAGUACGUACGCAAGUAUGAAACUUAAAGGAAUUGGCGGGGGAGCACCACAGGGGGUGAAGCCUGCGGUUCAAUUGGACUCAACGCCGGGAAGGGC